AUUGAACGCUGGCGGCGUGCCUUACACAUGCAAGUCGAACGGAAGGACGCUUGCUUGCACGUGGUGGCGAGUGGCGAACGGGUGAGUAAUACAUGGGUACCUGUCCUGUGGUGGGGGAAAGCCUGGCGAAAGCUGGAUUAAUUCCGCCUACGAUCUACGGACGAAAGCGUGGGACCUUGCGCCUUCGCGCUCUGGGGUUGGCCGAUGGCCGUUGAGCUAGUUGGUGGGGUAAAGGCCUUCCACGGCGACGAUCAGUAGCUGGUCUGAGAGUACGACCAGCCACACUGGGACUGAGACACGGCCAAUACGCCUACGGGAGGCAGCAGUGGGGAACGUUGGACAGUGGGCGAAAGCAUGAUCCAGCAAUGCCGCGUGUGUGAAGAAGGCCUUCGGGGUGUAAAGCACGUUUGUCCGGAAAGAAAUCCUUGGCCCUAAUACGGUCGGGGGAUGACGGUACCGGAAGAAUAAGCACCGGCUAACUACGUG
rnacentral:rRNA from 1 species